AUUUGUAGGUUAGACGCUCAUCUAGCAUCCUAGAAUAGGAUCUGCCCAUCACGGAAUGGGUGGGCUCUCCAGAUUGUCUCCUAGGCACUGGACCCCAUUCCUGUACUGAGGGCCUGUUCCAUGCCAGGCCUUGCAACCUGCUCUGGGGAUCCAGAAGUGAACAAAAUAACUCCUCAUGGAGUUGAUAUUCUAGUUCAUGAGCGAUGGGUUAGAAAAAGAGUAGUCAAACGAAGAGGGUCAUAUCAGAUGGUUAUUAGCACUCUGAAGGAAAUGAGGAAGGACGCUAAGAAAGUAGGUGGCUGGGCUAUACCAGCCAAGGUAGGGCGGUCCCAGUGGGCUUCUCGGCAGAGAUAACAUUUGAUCUGACACCUGAAGGGACCAGCCAGGAGGACCUCUGGAUGGGCCCAGGAGGGGAGCAAAUGCAGAGGAGGGAGGGAGGAGAUGAGGUGGAGAGGUAAGCUGAGGUCAGGCCUCAUAGAGUCUGGGGGCCAAGAUAGGCAUUUGACUGUGCUCUCCAGGCAAUGGCAGGCAAGAGUUUAAGUGUGGAGGGAUGUGGCCACUCUUGCACUUGACAAGGAUCCCUCUGGCUGCUGAGUGGAGAAGGAACUGGAGUGGGCAGAGCAGAAGCACAGAUGGCUACUGCAGUCCACCAGGAGAGAGUGAUGGGGAGAAAGUGGAUUCGAGGUGAAUUCUGGAGGUAGAAUGUGAGAGUGUGUCUGCAUGUGUGUGUGAGUGUGUGCAAUGGAAAGGGAGGAAUCAGAAGGGACUGGUUGGGUGGUGGCACUUUGUAUUAAGGCCAGAAAACUGAGGAAGAACUAGUUUGGGUGGGGCUUAGGAGGAUCAAGAAUUCCACCUUGAGCUUCUUAUAUUUAAGAUGCCCGGGAGGUUGGAAGGCUCUAAUAAGGCUGAAGAUGAGCACAUCCUGCGAGGCAGUCAUCCCACUGCUAGGCAUGAACCCCAGAGCACCUCGAGUCCACCUGCACCAGCACCAGGAGACACAUAUAAGAACACUCCCAGCAGCACUACGUACAGCCCCGGACCCAGGACAACUGAGAUGUCCAUUGCUAUGGUCUGAAUGCUUGUGUUCCCCCCCCCCCAAAUCCAUAUGUUGAAAUCCUAAUGCCCAGUGUGAUGCUAUUUGGAGGUGGGGCCUUUGGGAGGGGCUUAAGUCAUGACGAUGGAGCCUCAUGAAGAGCAUUAGUGACCUUACAGGAGAGGCUCCAGAGAGAUCCCGAGACCCUUCCACCAGGCGAGGAUGCAAGGAGAAGGCGCCAGCUACUCACUGGGAAGAGGGCCUCCCCAGAAGAUGGCCAUGCUGUCCGUCUUGAUCUUGGCCUUCCAGCCUCCAGAACUCUGAGCAAUAAAUUUCUGUUGUUGGUAAGCC
rnacentral:lncRNA from 1 species